CCCUGCCCAAUGAAUAUUAAAUGGCUGCAGUAUAUUGACUGUGCAAAGGUAGCAUAAUAAUUAGUCUUAUAAUUGAGGACUUGAAUGAAUGGGAUUACGAGAUUAAUUCUUUAUUAAUUUUAUUAUUAGAAUUUAAUUUUUAGGUAAUAAAGCUUAAAUUUUUUAUUGGGACGAUAAGACCCUAUAGAACUUUAAUAAGUUUUUAUUUUUAAUUGUUUGGAUUAUUUUUUAUAAAUAAUUUUUAUUUUAGUUGGGGUGAUUAAUAAAUUUUUACUUUAUUAUUAUUUUUCAUUUUGAUUGUAUUUUUGAUCCUUUUAUUAAGAUUUAAAGAUUAAGUUACCUUAGGGAUAACAGCGUAAUUUUGAUGGUGAGUUCAUAUUUAUAUUAAAGUUUGCGACCUCGAUGUUGAAUUAAGAAAAGGUUUAGGUGUAG
rnacentral:rRNA from 1 species